rnacentral:rRNA from 1 species
AUUGAACGCUGGCGGCAUGCUUUACACAUGCAAGUCGAACGGCAGCACGGACUUCGGUCUGGUGGCGAGUGGCGAACGGGUGAGUAAUACAUCGGAACGUGCCCAGUUGUGGGGGAUAACUACUCGAAAGAGUAGCUAAUACCGCAUGAGAACUGAGGUUAAAAGCAGGGGAUCGCAAGACCUUGCGCAACUGGAGCGGCCGAUGGCAGAUUAGGUAGUUGGUGGGAUAAAAGCUUACCAAGCCGACGAUCUGUAGCUGGUCUGAGAGGACGACCAGCCACACUGGGACUGAGACACGGCACAGACUCCUACGGGAGGCAGCAGUGGGGAAUUUUGGACAAUGGGCGAAAGCCUGAUCCAGCAAUGCCGCGUGCAGGAUGAAGGCCUUCGGGUUGUAAACUGCUUUUGUACGGAACGAAAAGCUUCGGGUUAAUACCCUGGAGUCAUGACGGUACCGUAAGAACAAGCACCGGCUAACUACGUGCCAGCAGCCGCCGUAACAC